CCUACGGGCGGCUGCAGUGGGGGAUAUUGCACAAUGGGGGGAACCCUGAUGCAGCGACGCCGCGUGGGUGAAGGAGUGCUUCGGCAUGUAAAGCCCUAUCGGCAGGGAAGAAGCAAGACGUUACCUGACUAAGAAGCCCCGGCUAACUACGUGCCAGCAGCCGCGGUAAUACGUAGGGGGCGAGCGUUAUCCGGAUUCACUGGGUGUAAAGGGCGCGUAGACGGCCAUGCAAGCCAGGGGUGAAAGCCCGGGGCCAAACCCCGGGACUGCCCUUGGAACUGUGCGGCUAGAGUGCGGGAGGGGCAGGCGGAAUUCCUGGUGUAGCGGUGAAAUGCGUAGAUAUCAGGAGGAACACCGGCGGCGAAGGCGGCCUGCUGGACUGUGACUGACGUUGAGGCCCGAAGGCGUGGGGAGCAAACAGGAUUAGAUACCCUAGUAGUC
rnacentral:rRNA from 1 species